UACAGAGGGGGCAAGCGUUGUUCGGAAUUACUGGGCGUAAAGGGCGCGUAGGCGGCCUUCUAAGUCGAACGUGAAAUCCCCGGGCUCAACCUGGGAACUGCAUCUGUGACUGCAUCGCUGGAGUGCGGCAGAGGGGGAUGGAAUUCCGCGUGUAGCAGUGAAAUGCGUAGAUAUGCGGAGGAACACCGAUGGCGAAGGCAAUCCCCUGGGCCUGCACUGACGCUCAUGCACGAAAGCGUGGGGAGCAAACAGG
rnacentral:rRNA from 1 species